rnacentral:rRNA from 1 species
AGAGCUCAAAUUUAAAAUCUGGCGUGCCUCUGGUCGUCCGAGUUGUAGUCUGGAGAAGCGUUUUCCGUGUUGGACCGUGUAUAAGUCUCUUGGAACAGGGCGUCAUAGAGGGUGAGAAUCCCGUCUUUGACACGGACUACCAAUGCUUUGUGAUGCGCUCUCAAAGAGUCGAGUUGUUUGGGAAUGCAGCUCAAAAUGGGUGGUAAAUUCCAUCUAAAGCUAAAUAUAGGCGAGAGACCGAUAGCGAA